rnacentral:rRNA from 1 species
CCUACGGGAGGCAGCAGUGGGGAAUAUUGCACAAUGGGGGAAACCCUGAUGCAGCGACGCCGCGUGAGUGAAGAAGUAAUUCGUUAUGUAAAGCUCUAUCAGCAGGGAAGAAAAUGACGGUACCUGAGUAAGAAGCCACGGCUAAAGACGUGCCAGCAGCCGCGGUAAUACGUAGGGGGCAAGCGUUAUCCGGAUUGACUGGGUGGAAAGGGAGCGUAGACGGCAGUGCAAGUCUGGAGUGAAAGGCGGGGGCUCAACCCCCGGACUGCUCUGGAAACUGUACGGCUGGAGUGCAGGAGAGGUAAGUGGAAUUCCUAGUGUAGCGGUGAAAUGCGUAGAUAUUAGGAGGAACACCAGUGGCGAAGGCGGCUUACUGGACUGUAACUGACGUUGAGGCUCGAAAGCGUGGGGAGCAAACAGGAUUAGAUACCCCUGUAGUC